AUUGAACGCUGGCGGCAUGCCUUACACAUGCAAGUCGAACGGCAGCACGGGGGCAACCCUGGUGGCGAGUGGCGAACGGGUGAGUAAUACAUCGGAAUGUACCCAGUAGUGGGGGAUAACUAGUCGAAAGAUUAGCUAAUACCGCAUACGCACUAUGGUGGAAAGCGGGGGAUCGCAAGACCUCGCGCUAUUGGAGCAGCCGAUGUCCGAUUAGGUAGUUGGUGGGGUAAAAGCCUACCAAGCCUGCGAUCGGUAACUGGUCUGAGAGGACGACCAGUCACACUGGGACUGAGACACGGCCCAGACUCCUACGGGAGGCAGCAGUGGGGAAUUUUGGACAAUGGGCGAAAGCCUGAUCCAGCCAUGCCGCGUGCAGGAUGAAGGCCUUCGGGUUGUAAACUGCUUUGUACGGAACGAAAGAACUCCUUCUAAUAAAGGGGUCCGAUGACGGUACCGUAAGAAUAAGCACCGGCUAACUACGUG
rnacentral:rRNA from 1 species